CAAUACGAGCGGCAGACGGGUGAGUAACGCGUGGGAAUCUACCCAUCUCUACGGAACAACUCCGGGAAACUGGAGCUAAUACCGUAUACGUCCUUUUGGAGAAAGAUUUAUCGGAGAUUGAUGAGCCCGCGUUGGAUUAGCUAGUUGGUGGGGUAAUGGCCUACCAAGGCGACGAUCCAUAGCUGGUCUGAGAGGAUGAUCAGCCACACUGGGACUGAGACACGGCCCAGACUCCUACGGAGGCAGCAGUC
rnacentral:rRNA from 1 species